GCCACAGGUGGCUACUAGCCAUUGGGCUUGGACAGCAGAGGUGUGGAAAGUCCGCACAUUCUUCCACUCAAAGGAUAUUCCCCUGCCUUUUUGAAGAUAAUGACCACUCAUCUGAGUACACAGUUCGCAGAAUCCCUUUGCAGUGGCCCAUGCGGGCCAAGGUAGUAGAGCAUAAUAGAUCUCUAGAAGGCCACUAGAAACAGCAGGUGAUGGCCCCAGCUCCUGUCCCUCCAUGCAGAACAUCUGUCAACACCUAUGGACAUCUUUUCCUCCCCCCAUUCCUAUGAAUGUUGCUCAGCUGUUACAUGGCAUGGACAAAUGCUGUUGGCUCGUGGCAUGGACACACUGGACAAGC